rnacentral:lncRNA from 1 species
CUCAAGCAUAUGGAACAAACAUAUACAAUCCCCAACUCAACUACGAUAUGUCAUCUAAUUGGUACAAUCCUUGUUCGAGAAACCAUCCCAACUUGAGAUAGGAGAAUUCAUCUGCACAACAACAAUCUAUGCAACAAAAGAAUAAUGUGCAUCAGCAGAAUAACACGUUACAACAUAACAACACACCUUCAUUGGAAGACCUUGUCAAACAAAUGAUUGUCCAAAAUAUCCAAUUUCAACAAAGGACAUAUUCCACCAUUCAUAAUUUGGAGACCAGAAUUGGACAAUUGGCCCCUUCCAUUAAUCAGAUGCAUACUUAGGGGUUAAGCCAACUACCUGCCCAGUCAGUAGUAAAUCCAAAUGUUCCUAAUGUCAAUGCAAUUAUCUUGAGGUUUGAAAAAACAGUUGAAAUACCAAAGGUACCUGAACUUGGAACUGUUACUGUGAAAAAUAACAAAGUUGUUAAGGACAUUCUAGUACUCGAGCUUAUUAAUGUUGAGC